rnacentral:tRNA from 1 species
UGAGUUGAAGCUGAACUUUAUAGCAUUUGGCCGUUAACCAAAAGGAUGGAGGUUUUAACCCUUUCAACUCAG